rnacentral:rRNA from 1 species
AACUUUCAGCAAUGGAUCUCUCGGCUUUCGUAUCGAUGAAGAACGCAGCGAAUCGCGAUAUUUAAUGUGAUCUGCCUAUAGUGAAUCAUCAAAUCUUUGAACGCAUCUUGCACCUUACGGUUUAUCUGUAGGGUACGUCUGUUUCAGUG